GAUGAACGCUGGCGGCGUGCCUAAUACAUGCAAGUCGAGCGAACCGAUAAGGAGCUUGCUCCUUUGACGUUAGCGGCGGACGGGUGAGUAACACGUGGGUAACCUACCUAUAAGACUGGAAUAACUCCGGGAAACCGGGGCUAAUGCCGGAUAACAUGUUGAACCGCAUGGUUCUACAGUGAAAGGCGGCUUUGCUGUCACUUAUAGAUGGACCCGCGCCGUAUUAGCUAGUUGGUGAGGUAACGGCUCACCAAGGCAACGAUACGUAGCCGACCUGAGAGGGUGAUCGGCCACACUGGAACUGAGACACGGUCCAGACUCCUACGGGAGGCAGCAGUAGGGAAUCUUCCGCAAUGGGCGAAAGCCUGACGGAGCAACGCCGCGUGAGUGAUGAAGGUCUUCGGAUCGUAAAACUCUGUUAUUAGGGAAGAACAAAUGCGUAAGUAACUGUGCGCGUCUUGACGGUACCUAAUCAGAAAGCCACGGCUAACUACGUG
rnacentral:rRNA from 1 species